AAAUUGUCACUGACAGAUAUGUGAAGUUCUUAUGGAAUUCCAGGUCUUCGAGGAAUUUCAACGGAAUUGCACGCUCAAAAGAUUAACCCAAACUGUGCUGCUACGAAUCGGUUAUUAGAUCGGAAAACUUCGGCUCGGUUUAACACAAUACGGCCAUCGAUGGUUGAUACGAAGGACGAAACAACCGAUAUUUGGGAUCACCGCUCGAAGUAUCAGUAAUCGAUCAAAAAGUUUGUACUUUUGUACUGUUUGUAAGCAAAGGUUGUUCCAAAGUUAUAUGAUCAUAAAUUAUCUAUUUUAAAAAAUCUAAUCUGCAAUAUACAAAUCAAUAU